GGCAAGCCCUAAGCUUGCCCACUUGGGCAGAAGGAUCCUCCUUGGAUCAUCACCGUAACCCAAACAAUGAUCAGCACAGAGGAGUAAAGCAAAGUUCAGAGAGGAGCAAAGAAGGAAAACAGGAGAAAAAGAGAAAGAACACUCUGAACUCCAAACUACAUAGAAUUUUCUUAGACCAGUGGAAUGAAAAGAAACAUAUCUCUUAUAUUUUGUUCAGCCCCUUUGAAAGUAGAGUCCAUUCCCCUGGACUCUCUCGGGAUUCUCUAAAAACCUUUGUUUA